rnacentral:rRNA from 1 species
GACGUAGGGCGCGAGCGUUGUCCGGAUUUAUUGGGCGUAAAGAGCUCGUAGGCGGCUUGUCGCGUCGACUGUGAAAACCCGCGGCCACCACGCGGGCCUGCAGCCGAUACGGGCAGGCUAGAGUUCGGUAGGGGAGACUGGAAUUCCUGGUGUAGCGGUGAAAUGCGCAGAUAUCAGGAGGAACACCGAUGCGAAGGCAGGUCUCUGGGCCGUAACUGACGCUGAGGAGCGAAAGCAUGGGGAGCGAACAGG